rnacentral:rRNA from 1 species
ACUCAGUGAAAUUGAACUCGCUGUGAAGAUGCAGUGUACCCGCGGCAAGACGGAAAGACCCCGUGAACCUUUACUAUAGCUUGACACUGAACAUUGAGCCUUGAUGUGUAGGAUAGGUGGGAGGCUUUGAAGUGUGGACGCCAGUCUGCAUGGAGCCGACCUUGAAAUACCACCCUUUAAUGUUUGAUGUUCUAACGUUGACCCGUAAUCCGGGUUGCGGACAGUGUCUGGUGGGUAGUUUGACUGGGGCGGUCUCCUCCUAAAGAGUAACGGAGGAGCACGAAGGUUGGCUAAUCCUGGUCGGACAUCAGGAGGUUAGUGCAAUGGCAUAAGCCAGC